rnacentral:misc_RNA from 1 species
GAUGAAGAACGUAGUGAAAUGCGAUAAGUAGUGUGAAUUGCAGAAUUCAGUGAAUCAUCGAAUCUUUGAACGCACAUUGCGCCCGCCAGUAUUCUGGCGGGCAUGCCUGUUCGAGCGUCAUUACAACCCUCAGGCCCCCGGGCCUGGCGUUGGGGAUCGGCGGAGCCCCCCGUGGGCACACGCCGUCCCCCAAAUGCAGUGGCGGUCCCGCCGCAGCUUCCAUCGCGUAGUAGCUAACACCUCGCGACUGGAGAGCGGCGCGGCCACGCCGUAAAACACCCAACUCUUCUGAAGUUGACCUCGAAUCAGGUAGGAAUACCCGCUGAACUUAAGCAUAUCAAUAACGGAGGA